rnacentral:lncRNA from 1 species
CAAUGAUAGAUUUUUAUAAAAACCUGAACAGGAGUGUAUUCUUACUUUUUGACAGCAAUCAAUGGUGGGUGGGAGUGUGGUGGUGGUGGUGAUGGUGGUCUACUGUGACCACAGGCUUCGUUCGCAUGAUGUGCCUAACUUUACGGCCUUGGCUCUAACCUGAGGUUGACCAAAGGUCAGGGAAACGUUCCUGGACUGAACAAUGAGAUUGCCACUUCCAUCUUUGCUCAGACCAAAAGUCCUGGUCUGUGAAAUUUGGGGAAAAAUUGAGAAGUGUUAAUAUUAUAUUUUUAGACGCAGUCAUCAGCUUCCUCUCAUUUUUUUUUUUUUUAAGAUUUAUUUCUUCAUGAGAGACACACAGAGAGAGGCAGAGACAUAGGCAGAGGGUGGAGCAGGCUCCCACCAGGGAGCCGGACAAGGGACUCCAUCCUGGAUCCCAGGAUCACACCCUGAGCCCUGAGCUGAAGGCAAAUGCUCAACCUCUGAGCCACCCAAGCGUCCCCACACCUUUUUUUUUUUUAAGCUUCCUCUCAUUUGUUUGUUUCUUUUCUUGGGUGGAGAAAGAAGGAAAUUCCAUGAUUUGCAAGUCUGCCAGAGCCAGAGUGUGUGUGUAGGGCCAGGUUGCUGUCAGGCACAAAGGCAGGGAGAUGGCCUGUGUCCAAAUGAAGAUCCACUGGGGCAAGAAGAAAGCCAGGCUGGAAGGAAGAGAAGCAGGCUUCGAGCUCCAACAAUUCCUGCCCAGUGAGGCUCAGGGGCACCAGAGACAAGAGCCCAAAGGCCAUUCUUCGAAGCUGAGCAAGAUUGCAGGGUUUCUGAGAGUACUGCGCAGAAAUAAAGGAGACAAAAAUGUCACUGAUCCACCAGAAACUUCCAAAGGUUUCUCCGAGUUGGUCCAGGAUGGGCAGUUCCUGGAGGCCUACCUGAGCAUCCCGACAUUGGUAAAGCAAGGGCAAGACUGCAAAUCCCUGUACCAGGUUGUGGCCCAGAGCAUGUGGCAGGUGCUCCAGCAGGCUCUGGAGGGCACUGAGUACUGCCCGGAGCUGGAGCUAAAGAUCCAGGCUGUGCUGGGCACCAUAGAGUGGACACAGGAGAAGCACCAGAGCUGGGAGGAUGGUGACCUCCAGGAUGGUGACCUCCAGGAUGGUGACCUCCAGGAUGGCGGAGUUGCCGCCUGGGGCAAUCAGCUGGAGAAGCUGCUGAGAAGUGAUGUGGAGGCCAGAGUGCCUGCCCUGGGCCCUGGCGACCAGGUGGACCUGUACCUGGAGAAGCUAGAAGAGGCUGUGACACAGGGCCUGAGGUCCCCGCGGGCCAGCCUGUUGGGGCCCCAGCUCUGGAAGGUCUACAGGACACACUUCCAGGAGGUCCUCCUCAACCGCCUCUGGGAGCUCAUGCACUCCUUUGGCACCAACAGGGAAAGCUGUCACAUGCUGUACUCCUGGGCCAAGAUAACGUUGUUUGGGGAGCCAGGGAAGACACUUGUGAGUGCACCUCCCACCUCCCAGGAGCCCGCGGUCAGGCACCUCUUAGAUUCUGUGACGUUUGUUCCCUGGAUGUCCCGAAUGCAGAAGAAGCUGGUGGGACUAAUACAGGAAAGCUUGGAGGAACAACUAGAAAAUGUCCUGAUCUGUGAUUGGAAAACAUGGGCCCAGGCUUCCUGCCCGACGUUUAUCGAAAUCUUCCAGCUGCUGGAAGAAAACAUUAAUGCAGUACAACCCAUUGGACUACCUAUCACUAGCCAGGUGCAAUCCAUGGUUCUGGAAACAUUUUCAAAGUUUCUGAAAAGGUACGAGGCCGAGGCCGCCCACUUCCUCCACCAGAACGCCACUGCUGGGCCCCUCCCCGAGGUGCACGUGCUGGCAAACUGCUGCAUCCUCAGGGAAACGUGGCAGGAGCUGAGCUGGGCACACAUUCUGCCGGCACAUCUGGACGCUGUCGUGCAAGACACCAUCCACGACAUCGAGAGCCACAGCCGGGACCACUUCCUGUUUAAGGGCAGAGCCCUGUGCAAGAGUCUGCUCCUGGGUUACUUCGUGAGGAAGGACAAGGAUCUGGUUGGAGCUCUGGAGGCCUUGUGGCAGAGUCUGGAGGGCCGUCCCAAAAUGUACUCCACUCUCACGUAUGAGGACAUCAUGCGAAGUUUGCAUGUGGUGGUCUUUGGGGAGUACAUCCAGGCCCUGGCCACCCACCUCAAGAAGCUGGCGCCCAAGAAGUGGGAGGACAUCUUGGUUCAGGUGAACACUGACACCACGAAGUUGCACAACAUCUUCACGAAGCACAGGGACGUUGGCUUGGCCAACCUACAGGAACCCAUCAUGGGGAUCUUCCAGCUCAGAGGGAACAAGGGCAGGGAGACUGUGGAUGACUGGCUGGCGUCCUUCAGGGACAGAUUCCCAGAUUAUUUAAGCACCCAGGCCCAGCCAUGCUGCUCUGUGCUCUUGGAGGAGACCGAGGACAAGGGAAGCUGCUGCUGCUGCUGUUGA